rnacentral:rRNA from 1 species
UAGGGAAUCUUCGGCAAUGGACGGAAGUCUGACCGAGCAACGCCGCGUGAGUGAAGAAGGUUUUCGGAUCGUAAAGCUCUGUUGUAAGAGAAGAACGAGUGUGAGAGUGGAAAGUUCACACUGUGACGGUAUCUUACCAGAAAGGGACGGCUAACUACGUGCCAGCAGCCGCGGUAAUACGUAGGUCCCGAGCGUUGUCCGGAUUUAUUGGGCGUAAAGCGAGCGCAGGCGGUUAGAUAAGUCUGAAGUUAAAGGCUGUGGCUUAACCAUAGUACGCUUUGGAAACUGUUUAACUUGAGUGCAAGGGGGGAGAGUGGAAUUCCAUGUGUAGCGGUGAAAUGCGUAGAUAUAUGGAGGAACACCGGUGGCGAAAGCGGCUCUCUGGCUUGUAACUGACGCUGAGGCUCGAAAGCGUGGGGAGCAAACAGGAUUAGAUACCCUGGUAGUCCACGCUGUAAACGAUGAGUGCUAGGUGUUAGACCCUUUCCGGGGUUUAGUGCCGUAGCUAACGCAUUAAGCACUCCGCCUGGGGAGUACGACCGCAAGGUUG